ACGGGUGAGUAAUAUAUAGGUAACGUGCCCUAGAGAAGAGGAUAACAGUUGGAAACGAUUGCUAAGACUCUAUAUGCCUUUAAGACUUAAGUCUGCAAGGGAAAUAUUUAUAGCUCUAGGAUCGGCCUGCACAGUAUCAGUUAGUUGGUGAGGUAAUGGCUCACCAAGACAAUGACGCUUAACUGGUUUGAGAGGAUGAUCAGUCACACUGGAACUGAGACACGGUCCAGACUCCUACGGGAGGCAGCAGUGGGGAAUAUUGCACAAUGGACGAAAGUCUGAUGCAGCAACGCCGCGUGGAGGAUGACACAUUUCGGUGCGUAAACUCCUUUUAUAUGGGAAGAUAAUGACGGUACCAUAUGAAUAAGCACCGGCUAACUCCGUGCCAGCAGCCGCGGUAAUACGGAGGGUGCAAGCGUUACUCGGAAUCACUGGGCGUAAAGAGCGUGUAGGCGGGUAGUUAAGUCAGAAGUGAAAUCCAAUAGCUCAACUAUUGAACUGCUUUUGAAACUGAUUACCUAGAAUAUGGGAGAGGUAGAUGGAAUUUCUGGUGUAGGGGUAAAAUCCGUAGAGAUCAGAAGGAAUACCGAUUGCGAAGGCGAUCUACUGGAACAUUAUUGACGCUGAGACGCGAAAGCGUGGGGAGCAAACAGGAUUAGAUACCCUGGUAGUCCACGCCCUAAACGAUGUACACUAGUUGUUGUGAGGCUCGACCUUGCAGUAAUGCAGUUAACACAUUAAGUGUACCGCCUGGGGAGUACGGUCGCAAGAUUAAAACUCAAAGGAAUAGACGGGGACCCGCACAAGCGGUGGAGCAUGUGGUUUAAUUCGACGAUACACGAAGAACCUUACCUGGACUUGACAUAGUAAGAACUUUCUAGAGAUAGAUCGGUGUCUGCUUGCAGAAACUUAUAUACAGGUGCUGCACGGCUGUCGUCAGCUCGUGUCGUGAGAUGUUGGGUUAAGUCCCGCAACGAGCGCAACCCUCGUCAUUAGUUGCUAACAGUUCGGCUGAGAACUCUAAUGAGACUGCCUACGCAAGUAGGAGGAAGGUGAGGACGACGUCAAGUCAUCAUGGCCCUUACGUCCAGGGCUACACACGUGCUACAAUGGGGUAUACAAAGAGCCGCAAUACGGUGACGUGGAGCAAAUCUCAAAAAUAUCUCCCAGUUCGGAUUGUAGUCUGCAACUCGA
rnacentral:rRNA from 1 species